GGUUAAGCGAAUAAGCGUACACGGUGGAUGCCUAGGCAAUCAGAGGCGAUGAAGGACGUGCUAAUCUGCGAAAAGCGUCGGUAAGGUGAUAUGAACCGUUAUACCCGACGAUAUCCGAAUGGGGAAACCCAGUAUCCAAUGGAUACUAUCAUUAACUGAAUCCAUAGGUUAAUGAGGCGAACCGGGAGAACUGAAACAUCUCAGUACCCCGAGGAAAAGAAAUCAACCGAGAUUCCCCUAGUAGCGGCGAGCGAACGGGGAGAAGCCCAGAGUCUUAAUCAAUAACAGUGUCAGGAGAACGGUCUGGAAAGUCCGGCAGUAAAGGGUGAUAGCCCCGUAUCUGAAGAUGCUGUUAUUGUGAACUCGACGAGUAGGGCGGGACACGUGUUAUCCUGUCUGAAUAUGGGGGGACCAUCCUCCAAGGCUAAAUACUCCUGAUUGACCGAUAGUGAACCAGUACCGUGAGGGAAAGGCGAAAAGAACCCCGGCGAGGGGAGUGAAAAAGAACCUGAAACCGUGUACGUACAAGCAGUAGGAGCCUCUUUAUGGGGUGACUGCGUACCUUUUGUAUAAUGGGUCAGCGACUUAUAUUCUGUAGCAAGGUUAACCGCAUAGGGGAGCCGUAGGGAAACCGAGUCUUAACUGGGCGAAUGAGUUGCAGGGUAUAGACCCGAAACCCGGUGAUCUAUCCAUGGGCAGGUUGAAGGUUGGGUAACACUAACUGGAGGACCGAACCGACUAAUGUUGAAAAAUUAGCGGAUGACUUGUGGAUGGGGGUGAAAGGCCAAUCAAACCGGGAGAUAGCUGGUUCUCCCCGAAAGCUAUUUAGGUAGCGCCUCGUGAACUCAUCUUCGGGGGUAGAGCACUGUUUCGACUAGGGGGUCAUCCCGACUUACCAACUCGAUGCAAACUGCGAAUACCGAAGAAUGUUAUCACGGGAGACACACGGCGGGUGCUAACGUCCGUCGUGAAGAGGGAAACAACCCAGACCGCCAGCUAAGGUCCCAAAGUCAUGGUUAAGUGGGAAACGAAGUGGGAAGGCUCAGACAGCCAGGAUGUUGGCUUAGAAGCAGCCAUCAUUUAAAGAAAGCGUAAUAGCUCACUGGUCGAGUCGGCCCGCGCGGAAGAUGUAACGGGGCUAAACCAUGCACCGAAGCUGCGGCAGCGACACGUAGUGUUGUUGGGUAGGGGAGCGUUCUGUAAGCCUGCGAAGGUGUACUGUGAGGUAUGCUGGAGGUAUCAGAAGUGCGAAUGCUGACAUAAGUAACGAUAAUGCGGGUGAAAAACCCGCACGCCGGAAGACCAAGGGUUCCUGUCCAACGUUAAUCGGGGCAGGGUGAGUCGACCCCUAAGGCGAGGCUGAAAAGCGUAGUCGAUGGGAAACGGGUUAAUAUUCCCGUACUGGUGGUAACUGCGAUGGGGGAACGGAGAAGGCUAGGUUGUCCGGGCGACGGUCGUCCCGGUUCAAGCAGGUAGGCAGAGUGAUUAGGCAAAUCCGGUCACUUAAUGCUGAGAUGUGAUGACGAACCACUAAGGUGGUGAAGCAAUUGAUGCCCCGCUUCCAGGAAAAGCCUCUAAGCUUCAGGUUACCAACAAUCGUACCCCAAACCGACACAGGUGGUCAGGUAGAGAAUACUCAGGCGCUUGAGAGAACUCGGGUGAAGGAACUAGGCAAAAUGGUGCCGUAACUUCGGGAGAAGGCACGCUGGCGGUAGGUAAAGUCCCUCGCGGACAGAGCUGAAGCCAGUCGAAGAUACCAGCUGGCUGCAACUGUUUAUUAAAAACACAGCACUGUGCAAACACGAAAGUGGACGUAUACGGUGUGACGCCUGCCCGGUGCUGGAAGGUUAAUUGAUGGGGUCAGCCGUAAGGCGAAGCUCCUGAUCGAAGCCCCAGUAAACGGCGGCCGUAACUAUAACGGUCCUAAGGUAGCGAAAUUCCUUGUCGGGUAAGUUCCGACCUGCACGAAUGGCGUAAUGAUGGCCAGGCUGUCUCCACCCGAGACUCAGUGAAAUUGAACUCGCUGUGAAGAUGCAGUGUACCCGCGGCAAGACGGAAAGACCCCGUGAACCUUUACUAUAGCUUGACACUGAACAUUGAGCCUUGAUGUGUAGGAUAGGUGGGAGGCUUUGAAGUGUGGACGCCAGUCUGCAUGGAGCCAACCUUGAAAUACCACCCUUUAACGUUUGAUGUUCUAACCUAGGCCCAUAAACUGGGUCGGGGACCGUGUCUGGUGGGUAGUUUGACUGGGGCGGUCUCCUCCUAAAGAGUAACGGAGGAGCACGAAGGUUGGCUAAGCAUGGUCGGACAUCAUGCGGUUAGUGCAAAGGCAUAAGCCAGCUUGACUGCGAGAGUGACGGCUCGAGCAGGUACGAAAGUAGGUCUUAGUGAUCCGGUGGUUCUGAAUGGAAGGGCCAUCGCUCAACGGAUAAAAGGUACUCCGGGGAUAACAGGCUGAUACCGCCCAAGAGUUCAUAUCGACGGCGGUGUUUGGCACCUCGAUGUCGGCUCAUCACAUCCUGGGGCUGAAGUAGGUCCCAAGGGUAUGGCUGUUCGCCAUUUAAAGUGGUACGCGAGCUGGGUUUAGAACGUCGUGAGACAGUUCGGUCCCUAUCUGCCGUGGGCGUUGGAAGAUUGAGAGGGGUUGCUCCUAGUACGAGAGGACCGGAGUGAACGCACCACUGGUGUUCGGGUUGUCAUGCCAAUGGCAUUGCCCGGUAGCUAAGUGCGGAAGAGAUAACCGCUGAAAGCAUCUAAGCGGGAAACUUGCCUCGAGAUGAGUCUUCCCUGUCGCUUUAAGCGACCUAAAGGAACGUUUAAGACUAAGACGUUGAUAGGCUGGGUGUGUAAGCGUAGCGAUACGUUGAGCUAACCAGUACUAAUGAACCGUGAGGCUUAACCUG
rnacentral:rRNA from 1 species